rfam:Octopus bimaculoides Scaffold41718_contig_69, whole genome shotgun sequence.
GCCGAAAUAGCUCAGUUGGGAGAGCGUUAGACUGAAGAUCUAAAGGUCUCUGGUUCAAUCCCGGAUUUCGGCA